rnacentral:rRNA from 1 species
AUUGAACGCUGGCGGAAUGCUUUACACAUGCAAGUCGAACGGCAGCACGGGGCAACCUGGUGGCGAGUGGCGAACGGGUGAGUAAUACAUCGGAACGUGCCCAAUCGUGGGGGAUAACGUAGCGAAAGUUACGCUAAUACCGCAUACGAUCUACGGAUGAAAGCGGGGGAUCGCAAGACCUCGCGCGAAUGGAGCGGCCGAUGUCAGAUUAGGUAGUUGGUGGGGUAAAGGCUCACCAAGCCAACGAUCUGUAGCUGGUCUGAGAGGACGACCAGCCACACUGGGACUGAGACACGGCCCAGACUCCUACGGGAGGCAGCAGUGGGGAAUUUUGGACAAUGGGCGCAAGCCUGAUCCAGCCAUUCCGCGUGCAGGAUGAAGGCCUUCGGGUUGUAAACUGCUUUUGUACGGAACGAAACGGUUCUCUCUAAUACAGGGGGCUAAUGACGGUACCGUAAGAAUAAGCACCGGCUAACUACGUGCCAGCCGCCGCCGUAACAC